GGGGAGUCUGUGCUGCUGAUGGAGUUUACAGGCUCCAGAAUAAAUGUGAGUACAUAAGUUGGCAUCAUCUGGACAGGAUUGAGAUGCUCAUUGAGCCCUCAUGGAACUGAAUGGAGAUAUGUGUCCAUAUCAGCCUGUUGAUGAGGAUGGAGAUAUGUGUCCAUAUCUGGGGCUACAACCUGUGUGCACUGGACCAAAGUGUGCAGAUUUAUGCAGGCCCAAAAUAUGACUGCUUCUGCACGUGCUACCAGCAACAAGAAUUUGGUGAAAGCAGCGACUGCCACAGUAAGGUUAGCUGUGAAAUCAGCCUGAAAGUGAAAGGUUGAGAAGGCAUUGCACAAGCACAGAAGCAAGCACACAGUCCUGGGUUGAUGGCAGUGUUGGCACUCUGGAAUUCCCCAGACCAGAUUCUUCUGGACAAUCUCCUAGCAACUCAACUAGUCGGAAUACAAAAUUCAACUUGAAUGUUGAAGACUGCCGGAAGGAGCCCGAGAAUGUGGCGGUGCUCUGCCU